rnacentral:misc_RNA from 1 species
AAGUCGUAACAAGGUUUCCGUAGGUGAACCUGCGGAAGGAUCAUAUCCAACGUUAAACCCCCCGUGCACACAGCGAUGCUCCCCUCAAUUUCGUUGGCAAUCCCUAUCGCCGAACAGUUUUGAUUCAGGGACAUCCAAAGGGGAUGAAAGUAGUAGUCAAUGCAAAGCAACCUGGUUUCUUUCAAGCAGAAAGUGUGAUGGCGUGAGCCGGAGAACGGACCGAGUGGUAGUUCAAAGGUGUCUUCUGUCGCGCACUGUGGAAAGGAAGACGCUUUACGAAUCACUGUCCAACACGGUCAGUGACCGGGUUCCUGGUCCUAGACCCCAUAUUCACCACCACAGUCGCAGACGAGGUAGGGAUACGUCCCUACCACCAAAUAAAUACUUGAACAACUGUUAACAAUGGAUAUCUUGGUUCUC